rnacentral:rRNA from 1 species
AGUGAACGCUGGCGGCGUGCUUAACACAUGCAAGUCGAACGCGAAAGGGGAGCAAUCCCUGAGUAGAGUGGCGAACGGGUGAGUAAUGUGUGGGUAAUUUGCCUUUAAGCGGGGGAGUAACCGGCGAAAGCUGAGCUAAUACCCACUAAUAUUGCAAUUUCUUCGGAGAAUGUAAUCAAACGAUGGCCUCUAUUUAUUAAGCUAUUGCUUGAAGAUGAGCCCACCAUCCAUCACGCUUGUUGGUGGGGUAA